rnacentral:tRNA from 1 species
GUUUUGUCAUUGGGGAAAUCUCUUUCUACCCGGAAUCCAAAAAGUUUUUUGUACGACAAACAAAAAAGUCAUAAAACAUUGGAAUAA